AUUGAACGCUGGCGGCAUGCCUUACACAUGCCAGUCGAACGGCAGCACGGGUGCUUGCACCUGGUGGCGAGUGGCGAACGGGUGAGUAAUACAUCGGAACGUACCUUAUCGUGGGGGAUAACGCAGCGAAAGUUGCGCUAAUACCGCAUACGCCCUGAGGGGGAAAGCGGGGGACCGUAAGGCCUCGCGCGAUUAGAGCGGCCGAUGUCUGAUUAGCUUGUUGGUGAGGUAAAAGCUCACCAAGGCGAUGAUCAGUAGCUGGUCUGAGAGGACGAUCAGCCACACUGGGACUGAGACACGGCCCAGACUCCUACGGGAGGCAGCAGUGGGGAAUUUUGGACAAUGGGGGCAACCCUGAUCCAGCAAUGCCGCGUGAGUGAAGAAGGCCUUCGGGUUGUAAAGCUCUUUUGUCAGGGAAGAAACAGCAGCUCUAACACAGUCUGCGAAUGACGGUACCUGAAGAAUAAGCACCGGCUAACUACGU
rnacentral:rRNA from 1 species